AGCGAACGUUAGCGGCGGGCUUAACACAUGCAAGUCGAGCGAGAAAGGGGCUUCGGCCCUGAGUACAGCGGCGGACGGGUGAAUAACACGUAGGUAACCUUCCUUCCAGCGGGGGACAACGGUCCGAAAGGACCGCUAAUACCGCAUACGUUCCCUGGGACCCUGGUCCCGGGGAGGAAAGCUCCGCAAGGGGGCACUGGAUGAGGGGCCUGCGUAGCAUCAGCUAGUUGGUGGGGUAAUGGCCUACCAAGGCUAAGACGCUUAGCUGGUCUGAGAGGAUGAUCAGCCACACUGGGACUGAGACACGGCCCAGACUCCUACGGGAGGCAGCAGUGGGGAAUAUUGGACAAUGGGCGCAAGCCUGAUCCAGCCACGCCGCGUGAGUGAUGAAGGCCUUCGGGUCGUAAAGCUCUGUGGGGAGGGACGAAUGGCGCCGUGAAGAGCGGCGAGUGACGGUACCUCCUUAGCAAGCACCGGCUAACUUCGUG
rnacentral:rRNA from 1 species